rnacentral:rRNA from 1 species
UACGUAGGGGGGCUAGCGUUGUCCGGAUUUAUUGGGCGUAAAGAGCGUGUAGGCGGCCAGGUAGGUCUGUUGUGAAAACUCGAGGCUCAACCUCGAGACGUCGGCGGAAACCAUCUGGCUAGAGUCCGGAAGAGGAGAGUGGAAUUCCUGGUGUAGCGGUGAAAUGCGCAGAUAUCAGGAAGAACACCCGUGGCGAAGGCGGCUACCUGGCCCAAUACUGACACUCAGGUGCGACAGCGUGGGGAGCAAACAGG